rnacentral:rRNA from 1 species
UGGCAGACGGGUGAGUAACGCGUGGGAAUCUACCCAGUACUACGGAACAACAGUUAGAAAUGACUGGUAAUACCGUAUACGCCCUCCGGGGGAAAGAUUUAUCGGUAUUGGAUGAGCCCGCGUUUGAUUAGCUAGUUGGUGUGGUAAUGGCGCACCAAGGCGACGAUCAAUAGCUGGUCUGAGAGGAUGAUCAGCCACACUGGGACUGAGACACGGCCCAGACUCCUACGGGAGGCAGCAGUGGGGAAUAUUGGACAAUGGGCGCAAGCCUGAUCCAGCCAUGCCGCGUGUGUGAUGAAGGCCCUAUGGUUGUAAAGCACUUUCAACGGUGAAGAUAAUGACGGUAACCGUAGAAGAAGCUCCGGCUAACUUCGUGCCAGCAGCCGCGGUAAU